AGUGAACGCUGGCGGUAGGCCUAACACAUGCAAGUCGAACGGCAGCACAGUAAGAGCUUGCUCCUACGGGUGGCGAGUGGCGGACGGGUGAGGAAUAAAUCGGAAACUACUUUUUCGUGGGGGAUAACGUAGGGAAACUUACGAUAAUACCGCAUACGACUUACGGGUGAAAGAAGGGGAUCUUCGGAGUUUGCGCGAUUGUAUGAGCCGAUGUCGGAUUAUCUAGUUGGCGGGGUAAAGUCCCAACAAGGCGACGAUCCGAAGCGGGUCUGAGCGGGUGAUCAGCGAGACUGGAACGGAGACACCGUCUAUACGCCUACUGGGGGCAUCAGUGUGCAAUAUUAGACAUUGGACGAAAGCCUGACCGAGCCAUGCCGCGUGGGUGAAGAAGGCUUUCGGAUUGUAAAGACGUUUUGUUGGGAAAGAAAAGCUGCAUGUUAAUACUCGGAUGUUCUGACGGUACCCAAAGAAUAAGCACCGGCUAACUUCGUG
rnacentral:rRNA from 1 species